GCGCCCCGCCCGCCGCCGGGCCCCGGGGCAGGGCGGCGGCCGCGGGGCUGGGGAGCGGCCGCGGGCAGCAGGCGGGGAGCCCCGGGGGGGGCAGCGGGCGAGUCGGGGUCUGGCCCCUGCGGCUGCCCCCUUACCCCGCCGCCCCCUCCCCACUCACCGCCGCGGCGCCCUUAGGCCCCGGCUGCGACAUGUCGGCGCUCGGCGAAGCCCGGCCCGCCUCUUCCUCCCCCUUUGGGCGGUGGCGGCGGGGGGCUCCGGCCGCCCCGGGGCGGGACGGGGAGGUGUGGACAGGCUCCGGGGGUGGUUUUUGGGGAGGGAGCGCUGAGAGCCCUCCUGGGCGCCGUUAACGCCCGCCCCGGGGGCUUGAGUCACCGACACUCGAGGCUCGGAGCCCCUCUCCCCCCGGCCACCAGCCUGACAGGAAUAAUCUCAGACUGCCCAGAAACACGGUGCCCAAAUCCGUCAGGGAUUGCUCAUGGUCACGCAAAGCUGCUGGAAGCCACUCUCUGGUGCACAAACCAAAGAGUGCAGUCAUUUCUGGGAGUCAGCAGAGGUUCCAGGCAACUAAGAUCCAUCUGCAAUUACUGCUCAAGAAGCCCAAGACAGAUGCAAGUAGAGUUUAUAACUAAUCCAAAAGCAAAAACAAAACCAACACUGGAAUAUUUUAUAUGUUGAAUUUAUAAAUAGUGUAUUUAUACAUAACAUAUAUGUUUUUAUAUCUAUGGUAUAUUUUUAUACAUAUGUGUGUGUAUGUAUGUAUAUGUGUCUGCCUUGCAAUGAUUUUACACAAUUCUAUGAUAUAAUGCACUAGAACACUAACCAUGAAUCCCAGGUAAAAUAAAAGACUAAUGACUGAAUAUCA
rnacentral:lncRNA from 1 species